rnacentral:rRNA from 1 species
ACAUCCAGCGAACUUGGCAGAGAUGCCUUGGUGCCUUCGGGAACGCUGAGACAGGUGCUGCAUGGCUGUCGUCAGCUCGUGUUGUGAAAUGUCGGGUUAAGUCCCGCAACGAGCGCAACCCUUAUCCUUUGUUGCCAGCGAUUCGGUCGGGAACUCAAAGGAGACUGCCGGUGAUAAACCGGAGGAAGGUGGGGAUGACGUCAAGUCAUCAUGGCCCUUACGAGUAGGGCUACACACGUGCUACAAUGGCGCAUACAAAGAGAAGCGACCUCGCGAGAGCAAGCGGACCUCAUAAAGUGCGUCGUAGUCCGGAUCGGAGUCUGCAACUCGACUCCGUGAAGUCGGAAUCGCUAGUAAUCGUGAAUCAGAAUGCCACGGUGAAUACGUUCCCGGGCCUUGUACACACCGCCCGUCACACCAUGGGAGUGGGUUGCAAAAGAAGUAGGUAGCUUAACCCUCGGGAGGGCGCUUACCACUUUGUGAUUCAUGACUGGGGUGAAGUCGUAACAAGGUAAGCGUAGCGAG